GGGUUGUGAGGUUAAGCGACUAAGCGUACACGGUGGAUGCCCUGGCAGUCAGAGGCGAUGAAGGACGUGCUAAUCUGCGAUAAGCGCCGGUAAGGUGAUAUGAACCGUUAUAACCGGCGAUUUCCGAAUGGGGAAACCCAGUGUGACUCGUCACACUAUCAUUAACUGAAUCCAUAGGUUAAUGAGGCGAACCGGGGGAACUGAAACAUCUAAGUACCCCGAGGAAAAGAAAUCAACCGAGAUUCCCCCAGUAGCGGCGAGCGAACGGGGAGGAGCCCAGAGCCUGAAUCAGCAUGUGUGUUAGUGGAAGCGUCUGGAAAGGCGCGCGAUACAGGGUGACAGCCCCGUACACAAAAGCGCAUGUGUUGUGAGCUCGAUGAGUAGGGCGGGACACGUGGUAUCCUGUCUGAAUAUGGGGGGACCAUCCUCCAAGGCUAAAUACUCCUGACUGACCGAUAGUGAACCAGUACCGUGAGGGAAAGGCGAAAAGAACCCCGGCGAGGGGAGUGAAAAAGAACCUGAAACCGUGUACGUACAAGCAGUGGGAGCCCCACCACUAAGCCAGUGGUGAACUCCACAUACGCAUCCUUUGCUGAAGGUGCGGUUAACGGAGCGCAAGCGACGUUCAACCUCAAAAGAAGCAGAGGGGGCUUAGUGGUGGGGUGACUGCGUACCUUUUGUAUAAUGGGUCAGCGACUUAUAUUCUGUAGCAAGGUUAACCGCAUAGGGGAGCCG
rnacentral:rRNA from 1 species